rnacentral:rRNA from 1 species
AUUGAACGCUGGCGGCAGGCCUAACACAUGCAAGUCGAACGAGUGGCGGACGGGUGAGUAAUGUCUGGGAAACUGCCCGAUGGAGGGGGAUAACUACUGGAAACGGUAGCUAAUACCGCAUACCAUCGGAUGUGCCCAGAUGGGCUUAGCUUGUAGGUGGGGUAACGGCUCACGUAGGCGACGAUCCCUUGCUGGUCUGAGCGGAUGACCAGCCACACUGGAACGUAGACACUGUCCAGACUCCGACGGGAGGCAGCAGUCGGGAAUAUGGCACAAUGGGCGCAAGCCUGAUGCAGCCAUUCCGCGUGUAUGAUGAAGGCCUUCGGGUUUUAAAGUACUUUCAGCUGGGAGGCGUUACCCGCAGAAGAAGCACCGGCUAACUCCGUGCCAGCAGCCGCGGUAAUUC